rnacentral:rRNA from 1 species
GGAGUACUACGCUAACCCCAAGGAUACAAGCCAUGCAAGCAAACACGAGGUACGAAGGGGCGGACGGCUCGGUACAACGGUGGGAGUCGGACCGGGGGUGAAGGCUAGACGGAUACGGCUGGCAACCCAGCACCAAGACGAGUGCUCAAGAGCGAGAAGGGAGAGGACGCAAAGGAGCGAAUGCCCGGAGGAGGUUCCGAGGUAUUACCUGGUCGGUAGAGUAGUGGUCUACGGAGGGGAUGAUG